UUUUGUCUUCAUAUCUUCAAUGCUUCAACAGACACAAACACCGGAUUAUAGAUAGGCUUGUAUAUAAUCAGUGUAGCAAUGAAAUGUUUCACUGACUGUAAGGUUUUUUUUUAGCUUUCUUCACACCAAACAUUGCAAUUAGUAACAGCAUCAGAAAGAUUAUGUUUCCGGGAAAAAUAUCUUCAGAGUAGCAAUAUUCCGGAGAAGAAUAUAGACCAAAUUACAGGUUUCUCUCUCCGAAGAUAUAACAAUUCGUCUAUGAUUAUGUUCUGAUAAUAAGAACGCUUUAUAUAUAUUUUU